AAGAAAAUGAGAUGAAUUCUGAGGGGGUUUCAAGUGGCAAUUUGACAACAUUGGACACAACAAAAACACUAUCAGAUUGUGAUAUUUUUAAUAUGAAUGAGGAUUCAGAGACAAAUAUGGAAGGAGUUUUGCUGUCACCACAACCUCGUUUAGACUACAGUUUCGGCUGGGAUGAUUUGGAAAACGAUGAUGCUGAGAUGGUGCUUUGGAGCUAUUCUAUUUGAUGUCAUAGUAGUUUCGGAUAGUAAAGUGCGUAAAACACAAAAAUAAAGAAGCAAGAUAUAGUAUAUGGUGAAUGGAGAGUAGGUGAGUCAAGUUGAUCUGGUAUUUGGUUUUGAAGUCCAAUCACCCAGACUGCUUAUUAUAAGACAAAAAGUAAGAGGAAAAAAUAUCAGGCAAGUAAGAGUGUAAAACCGACUUAAGAGUGGUCCACAUAUCCCAUAUCCCACUACUUCAACAACUGACCCAAUGUUUAAAAAUCACAUUUGAUAACUACCCAUGUUCUAAGGACGUGCAAAAAAAAAAAAAAGAAUACUCUGUGAUGGGCAGAGCAUUUAUAAAAUGCAUUCGGAAGGUCCCUAAGAUCAUUUUCAUGUUCAGUUUGUAUGCACCAUCUAAGCAGUGAGAAAGAGAGCUUAGAAGAGCCUUAACCCGCAGCUAAACACUACCUACAAGCUUGAGUGAGUGCGUCAAGAACGGCAAUGGCAGGAUGUUCGUUUUCGAUCCAUUUUACUCUGCAUUGAUCUAAAUGUUAUUUUGUUUAUUAAAACAUGUUUAGAUCGCUUAAGGUGACUUACAUUUGAUAUCAGAGCCUUCGUUUUGCCUUUGCCUUGUUUGUUCUUAGCCUGCACACAUUCUGUUGAAAAUUUUGGCAUUUGAUUUAGUCUGUUAUAUAGAAACUGAGAUUAGGAAUCAUUAGGAAAUCGAUUUAUGAGAAUUUUGAUAUAAAAUAUGAGAGAUUUGGUGGUCGGAAUCAUGAGAUAUGAAAGGGUUUUUCAUUCGGGUUGAAACCGGGUUACAUCGACCCGUCGGGAGGUUGAAGAUAACCUCUAUUAAAAAAAAAAAAAAUAAAAUAAAAUAAAAUAGUAAACAGUCUUUUCAAACUUGUUUGCAAGGAGACAUGGCAACUUAUGUUGACAUGCAGUGGCCCUUCCUUGUCUCUUACUAGUUAAGGUACAAGAAUGGUUUUUGUUUUAACGAUUAGUUUCUAGCACGUGAGCCCACUUGUAUGAAAUAAAGGCCGUCGUUGAUAUAAUAGAAAUUGAAUGUUUAAUAUUAUUAUUUCGGAUUACUUUAAUAAAAUUUUGGACUUGUACUAGUACCAGUCGAAAAUUUUGAAAUUGUAUCUCUUUGUGGACCCAUGUGCUGGAAAUUAAUGAGAAUUAUUUGGUGAUUUUGUUUUCAUAUGUACUAAACUUAUUUUGCCCCCAUUUAGCCAUCAUUUUCCUUCUCAUUAUUUUUCUCUCUUAUUUUUAACUACAUAAUCAUUCAUAAAAUAAUAUUAAACUCAAAUAAAAAACUUUUCAUUUUUCUCAACCACACAUUUUUAAAAAAAACACUAUUCCAACCAUUAAAAUUUAGCAAGAAUGGGGGCCAAACAGGUGUUAUAUUGUUUUGUAUGUAUAAUUUUUAUUGUUUUGUUAUAUAUACAAUAUUGAGUUAAAUAAUUUAGUACAUUAAAAUUUAAUUUUUGUGUUCAUAUUGCUUAUGGUUUUGUGCAAUUUAUAUGAGCAUAUUUUUGUGAAUUAAAUUAAAAGUUGAGUGACCAUAUAAUUUAAUUAAUUGGGGAGUAGCCACAUCAUCCUUAAUUAUACAAAAUUAUAUAUUAAAUGUAUAGGAUCACAUAUUGAAUAAAGACAUUAAUUGUGGUUAAUCAUAUUUAAUAUAAUGAAUAUUAUCCCACAAGAAUUUUAUUAUAUAUCUUUGAUUAAUUAAGAUAAAAUAUCAAACUAUAUUUUCUAAUUUGCCCCCAAGGAUUAGAAACGGGAACAUAAUUUGAUAGUUUUAUUGUGUAGUUAAAAUAAAUCUAAUUGAAUUAGAACUUUAGCCCACAUGCAAGUCUUAUGUCACUAGAUUCAUAUUUUGCAUGAUUUUAUAUCUGUAAAACAUGUCUUAUGUUAUGUUAGCUUCAAAUUUUGUAAAAUGAGCAUGAAUGUUUGAUUUAUUGCAGCAAGUCAACUUGUUAAUUUCUCUAAUAUAAAAAGUGAUUUUCCCGAGCUGAAAGGGGAUUGUUAUAAGGCCUGGAAGGAGAGAAUUCUCAAUCACUUGGGAUGGAUGGACAUAGAUUACGCCAUAAGGAAGGAAGAGCCCCCUAUAGUAAUCACUACCAGCACUUCAGAGGCAGUUCAACUUUAUGAAAAGUGGGAGCGAUCUAAUCGUCUUUCCGUUAUGUUCAUAAAGACGAAAAUAUCUAAUGGUAGUAGGGGCUCCAUCGAGUAGUGUGACAAAGUCCAAGAUUUGCUUAAGGCCGUUAACAAACAAUUCGUCACUUCAUAUAAAGCGAUGGCCAGCACUCUCAUUAUGCAGUUUUCAUCCUUGAAGCUCAUCGACAUUAAGGUUGUGCGUGAUCAUAUCAUGCGCAUGAGAGAUAUAGCAACCCAACUCAAGACAUUGGAAGUUGAGAUGUCCGAAUCACUCCUGGUUCACUAUAUCCUUUGCACUUUGCCUCAACAAUAUGGCCCAUUCAAGAUCACCUAUAACACACAUAAAGUUAAUAGUCCAUUAAUGAGUUGUUGACCAUGUGUGUUCAGGAAGAGGGCACACUACUUAUAGAGGAAGGUAAAAAGGAAAAGAUGUAUUUGACAACUCCAGGAAAGAAAAAGAAAGAUCGGGCCAAGGACAAGGGGAAGGGAAAAAUCCAUCCUCAAAAUGACAUUAAGAAGGAGAUUGUGUGCUUCUUUUGCAAGAAGAAGCGGCACGUUAAGAAGCAAUCCUCCAAGUUCAUGAAGUGGCUUGACAAAAAGGAUACUCAACUCUCACCUGUUUGUUUUGAAUCCAAUAUGAUUGAUAUUAAUCAUAACACAUGGUGGAUUGAUUCUGGUUCUACGAUCUAUAUGACCAAUUCAUUGCAGGACUUGGGGUACUUAGUACUCUAAAUUUUACGGACUUUGGGACUUGUAUAGACUACAUUAAGGGAAAGUAGACUAACAAGUCAAAAAAGGGUGCCAAGAGAAGCUCUAAAUUAUUGAAAAUCAUAUUCACAGAUAUUUGUAGUCCAGACAUGGAUGCAUACCACGAUAAAUACUUCAUCUCUUUUAUAGAUGAUUACUCGCGAUACAUGUAUCUCUACUCGCUUAACAGUAAAAAUGAAGUACUAGGUGCUUUUAAGGUAUUUAAAGCUGAAGUAGAGAAACAUUAAUGCGGUAAAAUAAUUAAGAUAGUGAGAUCCGAUAGAGGUGGAGAAUAAUCUAAUGAAAAAAUUAGGCUCUAAUCAUAAGUCAAUUAUAACGAGAGGAACUAUGAUAUUGACAUGAUGCGUGAUAGCAUUUCUACAAAAUUGGGAAGAACUUUAUUCUCAAUUAAUUGGAGAAGUUUAAAGAAUAAUAGUGUUAAAGAAUUUGUUGACAUCAUAACUAACACUUAUUAAAAUAUUGUGAUUUUUAAUCACUAACAUUAACAAGACAUUGUCUUGAUUGUAUACUCUAAAAAUCAAGCUCAUAAUUCUAAAUUUGAGCAGUAAUUUCACAAACUUCUUACCAACACCAUGCAGUCAUCUAGUAUAUGUAACAAAUUUAUUAGAUAUAAACAAUAUUUAGAUGAUCAACGUGGAGGAUGAUGUGGCCUCAUUUAUCACACCAAUCAAUUUUCAGAAAUAUAGGGAAUUCAGUCCCUAUUUUAACUAGUUGUUGUUAAUGAAAGAGAACACACGUCAUAUAUGAUUGAAUUGAAAAUUUUUUUUGGUUCUUUAUUACAUAUCCAUUUGAAUUUUUAAUUUCGCAUCAUUAUUAAUCUAGUGAUGAUCAAACUAGUCAUGCCAAAUAAUAAAGUCGAAUUGAACUUCUUGUUCAGUAUAAAUAUAAUUCAAUUAUUUAGAGGGUAUUUGAGCCGCAUUUUUAAGAAAAAUGCAUUUUAGAAUAGUAGAAUGAUGAGAAAUGUGUGGUUGAAAAAUAUGAAAAUUUUUUAAAUUUACGUGUAAUAUUAUUUUAUGAAGAAUGUGUGGUUAAAAAAAAAACUUGUAUUUUUGAAAAAAUAAGAAUCAAACAAAGCAUUAAUUACAAAAAAUAUGAUUAAACAUUAUAUAAUCAUAUAAUGAUCAAUGUCCACAUGAAAUAAGUUGUAUUUUUUUCUUUAGAGAUAAACACAAAUUCAUAAAUUAUACAUGAUUUAUUUUUCAAAACAUGUGCUACUUUAAGAGUACGGUAUAUUUUAUUUUCGCUUCUUUAGGAGCAACAUCAAUAUUUUUCUGAAAUAUUGGAAUCGUAAUGUCAUACUUCAGGAGCAAUAAUAUAUUAUUAUUAAAAUAAUAAAUUAUAUAAGAAUUUACUCUUUAGGAGGAAAAACAUAAUUUACGUUAGAUCGUAUUUAAUUAUGCUCUUCGAGAGUAAGUGAAAUGUAACAAAAAUAUUUGUCAAUAAUAGUGUGUUGCUUCAUGAGAAAUAAUAUUCUUUUAGAACAAUGUUGUGCUACUAAAGGAGCGCCAAUAAAUUAUUAUUUAAAAAGAUUAAAUCUUCUGGAGUAUGAUUUCUAGACAAAUAUCAACAUUUGAAAAGUUGUACUUCUUCAAAAGUACUUUAUGUUUUACUAUUACUUCUUCAGCUGCAAUAAACCAAUAUCUUCAUUUGAAAUAUAAAAAAUUGAAAUUCAUGCUUUUCAUAGCAAUAUGUCUAUUAUUUUGGAAUAUUGAAAAUUAUGAUUCAUAUUCAUCGAGAGCAAAUAAUAUUUUUUGGAAAUGUUAAAAAAUAUAGUUCAUAUUCUUCAGAAACAAGUAAUAUUCUUCAAAAAUAUUAUUUAUAAUGUUGUGUUACUUCAAGAGCAACUACAAAGUAUUUAUAAUAGAUAGAUGGUUUUAUAAAUGGUUUAACAUACAACAUACAAUUACACUUACCUCGUAAAUUUGAAGAGGGUUUUAUAAACUACGUACGGAAGAUCUUGACCUUAAACAAACGUUUAUGAACUAUGUGUUCAGUGUGGGACAACAUACACACACAACACAAAUAUAUUUUAAAUUAAUCAAUUAUAAUUAUGCAUAUAUAGAUGCACAUAAUUAUAGCAAUACUAUAAUUUAAUCAAUUUCUCGUAAUUAUAUAUAAUUAUACAUAUAUAUGUACGUAAUUUUAGUAAUACUAUAUUUGAAAUCAAUCAACCAUAAUUAUACAUAUACAAAUGCACAUAAUUAUUGUAACAUUAUAUUUAAAUCAAUCAAUUGUAAUUAUAUAUAAUUAUACAUAGAUAGACGUACGUAAUUGUAGUAAUACCAUAUUUGAAAUCAAUCAACCAUAAUUAUGUAUAAUUAUACAUAUAUAGACUUACAUAAUUAUAGCAAUCACAAAAUUUAAAUCAAUUGUUCAUAUAUUAUAUAUAUAGAAAAUUACACUUGUAGUCCCUCAACUAUUUGGGUGAUGUGCAAUUUGAUCAUCUAACUUCAUCCUCUUACACUAAGGUCCUAAUUUUAUAAUUAAUGACUAUAAAGAAAUUUGGUGUAUUACAAUCUAUCCCUAUUAAAACAAAUUUUCAUCCUCGAAUACCCUCUUAAAAUAGAUUUUCAUUCUAAAAAAUUACCUUAGAUAUCAUCAACAAACAGUUAUAUAUAUAUAUAUAUAUAUAUAAAUUUUGUUUGAUAUAUAUAUAUAUCAACAAACAGUUAUUAAUUGGUUGUUAUUAAAUAUAAAUUUUGUUUGUAUAUAUAGAUAGAUAUAGAUUGAUAUAUGUAUAGUUAUAAAUGUAUAUUUGUUAAUAUCUUCACACGAGUAUCUCUCUCUUCCACUCAAAUUAACUACAUUUAAAAAACUUCCACAUAUCCACUCGUCAUUCCAUUUUCCCCACUUAUCCAACUAAUAAGAAAGAUUCCAUCAAGUCCCUUAUAUAUUUAUCUCACAUCACUCACCAUUUCUUUUAUUUUAAUAUUUCAUAACUUGUAUUCCCAUAUUUUAUUACUCAUUUUCUUCCAUAUUUUUGGGUAUCAAAACAACAAAAAAUUGUCCAGUAGCAUUUAAAGUACUCAUUUUAUCUCAACAUUUUUCAUUUGAUUGAAACGCCUUUGAAGGUUAUAAGGUAAGAUAACGACGUACAGGUAGUUUUGUCCUGUUUAAUUUUUUUUAUUUCAUAUUGAUAAAUAUUUUAAUGAUGAUAUGAAACGAUAUGAUAUAUAUGGCCAUCCGAUACAAAUAAUACGAUAUGAUAUGGGCUUUUACCAGCUUUAAAGAUUUGAUACAACGGUACGAUAUAUUUUAAUAUAUGAAUGAUAAAUAUUAUUCGUAUCCUAUUGAGUAUUCCCAUACUCACCCCAAUUUCUCCUACUUCAUAGGUUAGUUCGGGUCGUAUCAAACCGUGGUGAUUCGAUUGGGUGGUUGUGCCUCAUUUAGCUGGACAAAGCUAAAAUUUAAAAUGUAACUUUAUUUCUUUUAAGUUUAAUUGCAAUAGAUAUUAUUCAUAAUUAAAUUCUCAUACAUGUUAUUUGUAUAUGGAUGUAUUUAGUUUGCACUUUUGAUUAAAAGUUUGAAUUUAAUUGUUUGAUGUAGUGGUGUAAUUAUCUUCCGCUCAUUUUUUUUAAAAAUUAAUUGUUUCGUUAGCUGUUGAAUAUGUUAAAAUACAAUUAUCUACUUCUAAUAAAUUGGAUUUCAAAGAGUGUGCGAGUUAGUAGUUAAAAUUGUUGAAUCAUAUAAAAUAUGAGGUUGAAUUUAAAAUUGACCAUUUUUUUAAGCAAACUUUUGGGUGACGACUUAAAAUAUAAAAAAUUGGAUUUCAAUUUUGGUCUGCAUUGUGAUAAAGAAUUAUGUAUGAAUUAUAAAGAUGUUUAUACAUUUAGAAUCUAUGGACAAAUAUAUCAUUAUGUGAAAAAGUUCUUUCUUUUAAUGGUCAUCCUUCAUUUACAGUUAUAUUUCUUUGGAACUAAAAAUUAAAUGCAAAAUUGAUUACAACCUUUUGAAAAAUUGAUCGAACCAAUCGUUUCAAAAUUAAUAUAUAUUUUAAAUGUUAUUCAUUAAUAAAAUGUUUUCCGUUUUCCAAAGUUUAAAUAUUUUUCCUGAUUUAAAAUGUCAUUCUAAUUGAAUAAGAUGCGAUAUUGAACUUGAUCAAAAAAGUGUAAUAUACCCAAGUUAUGCAAUUUGGGUUGAGGACAUUAAAUCAACAAAUAUUAAGACAAGUGAUUAUACUGUUGGACCCAAGGUAAGUCAUGGUGGGUCAUGUGAUUUAAACAUCAUAAUUCAAAUAACAGGGCUGAAAUUUCAUUAUGCAAAAAUCAAGUGUCAAUAUAAUAAUUAAAUAUUAAUCAAUACCCAAUUCAUCUCCAAUCUCAUUUUUGAAAACCUAAAUCUCUCUCUCUAAUCUCUCUCUUCCUUCUUCUCUCUAGUCGCUGUCUCCAUUAUCUGUCAUCGGAUCGGUGGCUCGGUUGAUGUGAAGUUUCUGAGAGAAGCCACCACUACUAGUGCUCCCUUAUCACUUUUCACAUUUAUAGGAAGCUUCGCUCCUGCGCUUUGCCACAACACUCGACAGUGCAGCUGUCUCCCUUCUCUUUGUUAUCGGAUCGACGACGCGAUCGAUGCUGAGUUUCCUGAGAGAAGCCACCGCUGCAGGUGCUUUCUUAUCCCUUUCCAUAUAAACUUGGUUCUUGCGCCUUCCACAUCUCACGACGGUGUCUCCUUGAUUGAAGAGACCUGUGAGCAUGGCUUGAGACACCCAUCAUUUUGUUGUUGUUGGCGGUGUUUAAGGUUGUGUUGUGUCGGGGGACAGUGAUGUUGAUUUGGUGGUGAUGAAGCCAUGCAUCCUACAUUUUUUCCGUCUUUCUAUUGCAACUGAGUGGAAGUGGUGGCGGUGGUUUUGAUGGUUGCGGUGGCAAGGUGGUGAUGGUCGUCAAAGUUAUUGCGAUGGUUGUGGGUGUAGGUGUUGGUGGUGUGAUCACCAGUUGUGUUUGUGUGGAAGUGUAUUGGUACGGUAUCUAGGUGUUUGUUGGUUUUUGGAAUGGUGGUGGAUGUAGUGGUGGUGCCGAGAGGUAGCGAUGACAAUUGGGUGGCCUGCUUGGCUUAGUGCGGUGGCUGUUGUUGAUGUAUUUUAGUUAGGUUUGUUGAAAUUUUGGAGUGGUGGUGGUGGUGGUAGUGGUGGUGGCCAUGGUUGUGAUUGUAUUGUGGCGGGGUAGGGUAGUGUUGGUGACCAAAUAUUGUAGUGGAUCGGGAUCGAGCAUUUGGUGUUUGUGACCAAUUAUUUGGUUUCCUGUGACUAACUAUUAAACUGUGGCCUUAAAAUUUGAUUAGUUGUGACCUAAAAAAGUAAUUUGUGAUCAUCAAAUCUGAAUAUAUGCGACUUGCGACCCAUAAUUUUUUGGACUUGUAAACUGUCGCCUUAAAAUUUGAACAUUUGUGACUUAAAAAGUAAUCUAUGACCAUCAAAUUUGAAAAUAUGUGAAAUGUGACCUAUAAUUUUUUGGAUUUGUAACCAAUGACAUAAAUUGUGACCUGUAAAGUUUUCGAUUUGUGACCUUGACAUAAUUUGUGACCAAUUAAUUUGACUAAUAUAUGACCAAUAAAUAAAUUGUAAUCUAUAAUUAUAUUCAUGCAACCAUUAAUUGUAGAAAUUUGAUCUCAUUGUAUUUAAUUAAUAAAUAUUUUUAAUUAAUUAGCUAAAAUCUUAUUUUUGCAUUAGUUAAACUUAAAACCUGAUUUUUGAAUUGUGCAUAGUUAAACAUGAUUUGUGAAUUUUUCCAUUUUUUUAAUUCACUCUAUUCGGUGCAUGCUUAGGAAAGAAAAUAAACUUUCUUAAUAAAAAAGUAAGUCUAAAUCCAAUUCUCUGGUCAAAACGACCCUCACAAAAAGCCCAAAUCCAAUUCUCUCCAUCCGUUCUCUCGCUACUUUGAAUUGCUCAUAAUCUCUCAUCGGUCGCUUGUAGUCUCACUGCAGUCAAUGGUUACUCCUUUGUAUUAUGUCAUUGUAUUCAAAUAAUUUAUUUGCUACUUUUGGCAAAAACAAAAUUAUUCGACUAUGUGAAUAUUAUUCGGUAGAUUUUGAGGUAGUAGAUAUCUUGAAAUUGAUGAUCAUCUUGAUGCAUAUAUUCUUAACUUGCACAUUGAUGGAAAUUUUGGAGGAUUACAAGGUCUUAAUGAACUUAUAAAGAAGUUGCGAAAAAUAAACAUCAAGUGUAUUCAUUAGCGUACAAGCUUGUGAUAUUGACCUUAAUUCUUCCCCUGGCUACUAUUAAAAUUGAAUCGGAUGAUCAGUGAUUGAAUGAUAGUUAAAAAUGAAGUAAUUAUAGAAUAUUAUCAAAGUAUGAGAAUGUAUAGAAAACAAUUAUAAUAAGAUAUCGCAUGCUUUAAUUUUUUCACAAAUUUUUUUGCAAGUUUGAUUGUGCCCUAACUCAAAAUGCCUACGUUUGCCACUGCAUGAUGUUUACUAUAAAUCUAACAAUAUGUAUGGACUGCAAUAUUAUUUUGUAUGUUAUGAUUAUCUGCAAUACUCACUUUUGUUUCAUCAAGGUGAAACUAGUUGGCACCAUGGUGCUCAAACAGUCGAUAAAAACAACAAUAUUGCAUGAAUUAAGCCCCUUUUUUGUACACGUCAAUUUUUUUCAACUGAAGGAAUAAUUGCAAAUGAAGCAGUGAUAUCUUUUUGAUAAGUUGUUUCCAUUAUGUUGUUGUUUCUGUAGAUUUUGUUUCUCAUAAUUUGUUUAAAUGUUGUAUUAAGAUUUUAGACAUCUAGAUUAUAUUAAUCUGACUUAAUUAUGAGCCGGACUUUAUCAAGUUAUAGUUGAUAUUAUAUAGAUUAGUGAGAGUAUAGGUGAGAAAGUUGGUCGAAGUGUUGUCUCGCCUUAGUCAUAUAUUGGCAGACCUAUUUAAAUUUAUAUAAACUACUUUAUUGAAUUUAAUUUCAGUUCCAAUAUUAUACAAUGACAAAUGAAAAUUCUUUGUUGUGAUAUUCCAUGUUAAUGAUUUUCAAAAAUAAAUUAAGAUAUAUUCAGUAUUAGUUAUUAAUUCGAAGUUUAAAACUAAUUUCUUAUUCAAUUUAAGUUAAAGUUAUGAUUUAUAUCAUUUUUCAACUUUCAAAAUUUCAAAAAUGCUUGCACAAGUGUCUUGGUUUUUGUUGUGGAUGAUCUUUGUCUCUCUCUUUUUUGUUUUAUUUUAUUUUUUUUGAAUGAAGCUUGACAGAAGAGAAUGCAAAUAUAAAUAUUUUUAAUUAAAAUAUAUAGUCUUCGGUAAACAAUGAAAAUUUCAAAAACUAUGUUAUUAAAGUUGUUAGAGUCUCGAUCAUAAGUUAAUCUAUGGAGAAGAUAUGAAAUGAAGAAAAGAAAUUGACUUUUUAAAAUUCUUAAAGAGAUAUAUAAAGUGUUAAUUAUAGUAUUGUACAUGUUGUAAUUCGAUAUUUUUAAUGAAGUGUAUUUUUAUGUGUUUAGCUUUUAUAAUGACAUAUUUAUAUAUUAUUAUAUUAUUUUGGAAAAUAUAUAGUACCCAAUUAUUUUAUUCAGAAGUUGUAUUUUGUACUAUUGAAUAAAAUAUAAAUUUCAAAAAAAUAAUGUGUAAACUGUAAGCCUCUAUUUAGUUUAGACAAAAAUUAAGUUUUAGUAAUAAAAAUUGAUGAAAUAUAUAAUGAAAAAUUAUGAUUUACCAUAAAAUAUAUGAUUAAAAUUAAUUAUUAAUUUUCAAUGAUUUUUUUUUAAAAUUAAACCAAACAAGGGCGAUAUACACACAAUAAAUAUAAUAAAAAUUUUAUUCUGUAAAUUUCCUUCUUGUUGACAUUGAAAUGGCCAAUUGUACCCUCGCAUUUGCUUCCAAACAGGCAAGAAAAGAUGGUUAGAAUUUAUUUUUUUGGGGUCCGAAUAGAUUCGAACUUUUGCUCGAUCAAAACUUCUGGGUUCGACUUGACUUUUUGACUCAGAUCUUUCUCGAGCCGAGCCUAGAGGCCUAGACCUUUGCAGUCUCUUUGGAGUGGAUGAUAGAUUUCCUCCACUGAAUUAAUUGGCCAAUUGUACCCUCGCAAUUGGCUCCAGUCAAGAAAGAAAUAAUUUAUUCUUCACGGUCCCUGAAAUCUGCGAACCAUAAGACAUGAUGUAAACAACCUAGGAAUCUUCACAUCUUAUGAUGAAAUAAAUGUAUGGGGCAUUUGUUUCUCAUUUUUGUAAAAAUGAGAAUGAAAAAUAUAACUCUUAUGGGUAGGGUUGCUCGGCUUGGCCCAUGAAAGCACGAGCUCAGCUCGUCCGAAAAUGGGUGAGCUCGGCUCGCGAGCAAACAUCAUUUUUCCAUUUUUUUUUAAACAAAUAGGUAAAUUGGAAAAUAAAAAAGUAAUUUUAAUUUUUAAAUUAUGAAUUAUAUAUAAAAAAAACUAGGUAAAAAAUUUAAACCCUCCUCCUUUAUCCGGGUUUGGGACCGACUACUUAAAAUGUAGAUGUAUAGUAGUAAUAAUACCAAGUACUAACAAAAAUUUAACUAAAUUGGUGGAAAGGAAUUUUUUUUAUUUAUUUUUUUAACUAAAAGAGAUAGAAAAAAUAAAAAUGAAAUCUUUAUUUUUUUAUUUUUCUUUUUAAAAUAGAUAAACCCUUCUCCUUUAUCCGGGUUUGAGACCGGCUACUUAAAUUUUCAGUAGGCGGAGUUAAAAAUUGUAUACAAACAAUUUUUUGUAGCAUGUACAAUUUUUUAAAGAAAAUUAAAAGUAACGAUAAGAAAAGAAAAGUUUCAUCAAUAUAAUUAAAUCAAAUAUCACUUACUUGACGACAUGUAAUUUCAGCAUAUUUAUCUUGUAGUCGAAAAUGAGCGUCCUGCCAAUCUUUAACGCACAUUAACGCUUCUAAAAUAUCUUCUUUCAGUUGGCUCCUGACCUAGCUCAAAAUGCUUUUACCUGCACUAAAAGCAGACUCCGAAACAAUAGUGCUAACCAGAGAUGUCAGCAGAUUUUUUGCAAUCGCAGAUAUAACUGGCCAACGUCGUUCAUACCUUCACCAGAAUUCAAUUACUUCGUCUGAACUUUUUUUAAUUAUUUUAUCUGUUGGCAUAUUUUGGUUGAAAUAAUCAAUUAAUUCAGCAGGUAAUGCAUUAUGGCUUGAGCCCGUAGAUGUUUGAUGAGAAUGAGAUACAGAUGGUGACGACAUGGCAGUGGCAAUGGUAGUAGAUGAACACAUUGCAGAUGAAUCAAAUCUAUACGAAUUAAUGCCUUGAAAUAAAUUAAAUAUUUCCACACCUUCUUCUUCAAUUUCAGCGGAAGGAGUAGGUGUAGAUGGUACCUGACUAAUAUUGGUACCCAUUCGGUUCGCAUAUAAUUCAUACAUUUCACAUAACGUUUGCUCUAAAUUUCUAUAUGUGAUAGGUGUAUCAAAUGUUAAGGCAUUUGAAAUUUGAUUAAUUAUAUAUUUAGUUCUCGAUAAAUUAUAUCGGGGGUUCAUCACGCAUGCUAAAAGAAAUCAUAUAGGCAAAUCUUCCCAAUAUUUUUUAAAUUUUAAUUUCAUGGCAAUUCUAAUUUCACUAAAAUCAGGGUCAUUUCUGUAUUUAUGAAAUAUUCUUGCAAUUUUAUAAAGAUGUUCAAGCACCAUACAGCUGGUGGGGUAGUAAACGCCCGAUAAGAUCUUAGUGGUUUCAUAAAAAGAUGUCAAAAUUUUUUUAACUUUUAAAACUAAAUGCCAAUCACGUUCGGUCAACAUACCCUCGGCAUCACUUCUAACAUAUCUAUUGUUAUAAAAGUCAAUUAUUAAAUGUUCAAAACCUUCAUAUGACUUUAAUAACAAGUAAGUAGAGUUCCACCUAUGACCUACGUCGCUAACAAAUGUUUUAGCAUUUUGCACUUCUAUUUCGGCACAAUAAUCCUCAAAUGUUUGUUUUCUACUUGGGGAGAUUGUGAUAUAUAUUAGUGCGUUCCUAAUAUUUUGAAGUUCAUCCUUUAUAUGUUUUAAAACAUUUUGGACAAUUAAAUUCAAAAUAUGACAUACACAAUGAAUAUGAAACAAAUACCCACCAAAAUUAGGUUGUAGUACCCUAUGCAAUUUUUCGGCAACUACUUUAUUAACACUAGCAUUAUCGAAAGUAAAUGAACGAAUUUUACCUUCGCAAUGAUAUUCUCAAACAAUACUAAUAAUAUCAUUAAAUAUAUUAUUAGCGUUGUGAGGAAACUCAAUAAUUCUAAAAGCAAUAAUUUUUUUAUGCAUGCACCAAAGUGGGUCUAUAUAAUGUGCAGUUGCAGCUAUAUAUACUCUUUUAUUAAUCCCUUCCCAUAUAUCCAAAGUUAAAGAUAUGACACCCCCAUAUUUUUACAAAUCCAUAAUUAAUUGUUGCUUUGUUGAAGUAAAAUAUUGUAUCGAAAAAAAGAGUGUUUCGACUUACCUCAACGUACCUUGACUGCAGAUAUUCUUUCACAUACGAGACGUAGUGUUGGUUGUCAAUUAAUGUCAAAGGCAACUCAGCACCAACAACAAGUUUCACCAUUUCGAUUCGAGCUUUCUCCUCCGAAUACACCCAUGUGGAUAGGGGUACAGCAGAACCACCAACGUCUGGACUGCCAAAUUGCAAUUGUGUUUAACAGCCUGGAAUAAGUCUGUGUCUGGCUGCACAUACUUUGUAAUGACGGUUGAGAUGAGUGGUACCAAUUCCUCUAUGCCAUGCCAAUCUUUGUUAGCAGUAUUUACAUACUGCUUUAGAUUUUUAGACUCCAUUGACGAUUUUUUCCGUUGAAAUCAACUUAAAGUAAUCCCAACAUUUUGCUUGUUUUUUCUCCUUUCGCUUUCCCCUUGCAUCAAGAAUGUUUAAUUCAGCCUCUUCUUCCUAAUCGUGUUCCGCUUCGGGAAUGUCAACAUCAUCCAAAUUAAUUGGAUUACCGCUUACAUGAUGAUGAAGAUCCAAAUUUGGAAUAUCUUCAGGUAGGGGUACGUCAUUUAGACCUUCAAAUUGAUUCUGAAAUUGACUUUGUGGUGUCAUAUGCGAUUCGUUUCCUCCUACACCGAAUAAGUUUUCGACAAAUGUGCGUGAAUCCAUUUAUUUAAUUAUAAUAAGUAAUAACUAGUUGAAGAAAAAUUGUAUGAAUGUAGUGAGAAAUGAAAAUUGGAUGAAAUUUCAAUAAAUAUAGUGAGAACUGAGAAAUGAGAAUUGGAUAUUGUAUAAAUUGUAUAUAAAAAUUGCAUAACUAUCAACACAAUACAAGAGAGUUGAGAGAAAGAUAAUUGAGAGUUGAGAGUGAAUUGGAGAAAAUUUUGUGGCUAAAUGCCACUAUUUAUAGAAGAAGAAAAGAAAAAAAUUAAAAAAAUUUAAGGACCAAAACGGUCACUGAAAAAAUUCAGUGACCGUUAACGGAAAAAAAAAUUAAUUUAGGGACUGAAACAGUCACUGACAAAAGUCAGUGACCGUUACAUAAAGUGACCGUUUCAGUCACUUUUAAAAACGAGCUCACCAGCCGCUUGCGGGCUCGUCGUGAGCGGCUUCGUUUUUUGUGCGAGUCGAGCGGGCUUGGCUCACCCACCGAACCGGCCCGCUCGGCUCACGCUCGGGCUCGUGUAUUUACGAGCUCAAGCUGCCCAUGAGCUCCGUUUUCACGAGCCGACGAGUCGCUCGGCCCAUUUGCCACCCCUAAUUAUGGGUCCCACACAAGAGAUGAAAAUUCAAAUUUGAAUACUUGAUAUGAUGGAUAGUGGCCAUAUUUUUCAUUUUAAUGGGGAAAGAAUGAAAAACAAACAUGAGCUAUAUUUUCCCUUUUAUCACCCUAAAUUUAUGUAUUUAAAUUUGAGAAAAUUAGAGAAACUACUAAACAACGGCCUGAUAAAGGCAAUAAAGAUCGUGCUGUGCCCAUUGAGACGAGAGAAAUUUCUGUAGGACGGUCGCACCACGUAACAGUGUAAACGUCUUAUCAAGGUGUGCCACCUCAACGGUUGACCCACACACCUCACGCGAUGCGACUGCCCUAUUAAGGUGCGCUACCUAGGCUAGUGGGCCACCACACACCCCCGAGGUGUGUGAUCUCCUGCUAAGGUGGCACCUCAUUGUGGAUGGUACAAUCGUCUCACUGAAGUUUCUCUCCAUUGAUAUAGUUGUGUGAGUCAGACAUUCGUUUAGACGGGUCAAGUUUUUCGCAUAUAAAUUUGUGCUAUUAAAAAUAAGAUUUUAAUCCAAAGCAAAAUUAACAAUUAAUUUUAACAAUGAAUUCACAACUUUUUAACGAUACAUUUUAUCAACUUCUAUCAAAAUUUAGUAAAACUCUAAUUUUAACCCCCAUCAAACAGGAGUUUUACUUUAACUUUGAGGUGAUUUUGGCCUUAAAUCACUUCUAAAUAAUAUAUAUGGGGCCGGUUUGACAUGAUUUUUACUUUAACUUUUAUUGCUUCUAAAAGAGCUUAUUAGAAAAGCUACUUUAAUUUUUGUUUGAAAAGUAUUAUGUAAAAUGAUUCCCUAUUUCUAAAAAUGAGUCAAACUGAACUUGCUUUCUCGAAAAACUCUUUUAAUUAUAAAAAUCACUUUUAUAAAAAUAGUCAACUAAGUCCAAAAAUAACUUUUAGGUCAUGUUUGAGCCACAUUUAAAAAAAAAUACAUUCUUAAACAGUGAUUUGACAUUAUUUCAAUCACACAUUCUUUAAUAAAAUAAUAUUAAAUACAAAUUCAAAACUUUUCUUUAUUUUUUAAUCGCACAUUUCCUAUCAAUACAUAAUUAAAAAAUGCAUUCUAAAAAAAAAUAAUGUGACUGAAAGAAGGGCUUAGAUUUCAAAACUUUCUUUUUAAAUUUUUAAAAGUUAUGUGGGUCCAUUGGAGUUGCAGUGACGAAAGUUAUUACUUUAAAAUUAUCUUUUUGGGAAAUUUCAUGGGCCAUCCAUGUUUCUCCAAAGUUAUGAGGACCUGAUUAGAAUAAAGUAAAGUAAAAAAAAAAGGUUUACUUCAGCUCCUAAAAAAAACAAAAACAAAAACAAAAAAAAAUGGUAUUCCUUCUCUAAACCGGUAAUCGGAUGAUUCUGAUUCAUUUCUUGUUUUUCAAUUUAAAACAUACAAUUUCAAACAUAUGUAAUUUUAUCAGGUCAAUAACUCCUUUUUUUUUAUCGAUAAAUAUAAACUUUAUAGAUCAAUAAUUCCUACAUAAAUGAAAUUGUUAAUUUUCGUCUAAGGGAUUUAGGAGUUGUUUGACAAAACUUUUAUAACAAAUUUGAGAGAUUUUGAUAAAAAUUGUAGAGAUUUUGAUAAAAAUUUGAGAGAUUUUGAUAAAACUUUCGUUUAAGCACUAUUCUAUGCUUUUAAAAACAUUAUUAAAUAGUAUUAAUAAUAUAAUAAUCAUUUACUUAACUAACUACAUUAACAAACUGUCAAGUGGCUCAAAAUAUCCUAAACACUUUUCUCAGAGUUCAAUCCAAACUUUCAUUCUGUGGUACCUAAAAACUAAGAUAUUAUCACAAUCAUGAUGUUGCUGCAUUAGCAUUUAGAGGUCAGUUGGCAUGCCUGAAUUUCGCCGAUUCUGUCUGGUGCUUGCCGGUGCCGAUUUCUGAAGAUGCUAAGGAUAUUCAGAAGGCGGCAAUAGAGGCGCCAGAACUGUUCAGGCCGUUCGAGGGGGGUGGUGGUGGUGGGACAAUAAUGCAAGAAAAUGAGAUGAAUUCUGAGAGGGUUUCAAGUGGCAAUUUGACAACAUUGGACACAACAAAAACACUAUCAGAUUGUGAUAUUUUUAAUAUGAUUGAGGAUUCAGAGACAAAUAUGGAAGGAGUUUUGCUAUCACCACAACCUCGUUUAGACUACAGUUUCGGUUGGGAUGAUUUGGAAAACGAUGAUGCUGAGAUGGUGCUUUGGAGCUACUCUAUUUGAUGUCAUAGUAGUUUUGGAUAGUAAAGUGCGUGAAACACAAAAAUAAAGAAGCAAGAUAUAGUAUAUGUGUGUAUUCCAGUUUGAUUGAAUAGAGCGUAGGUGAGUCAAGUUGAUCUGGUAUUUGCUUUUGAAGUCCAAUCACCCAGACAGCUUACUAUAAGACAAAAAGUAAGAGGAAAAAAUAUCAAGCUGGUAACAGUGCAAGAACUUUGGAUAGAAUGCUUUGACUGUAUUGAUUUUCUUGUAUUUUCCUUUGUACAGUUACAAUAUAUAUGAAGAAUGGAAAAGAAUAUUGGCUUAAAAACCGACUUAAGAGUGGUCCAC
rnacentral:lncRNA from 1 species